AGAUUGAAGAAAAGAAGGACUAGUAAGAUGGCUUAUAAGCUGGAUUUUGAGAGUGAGUGAGCUCUUCUACGCAUUGGCUUAUAAGCCAUCUUACUAGUCUUUCUUUUCUUC
rfam:Arabidopsis lyrata subsp. lyrata unplaced genomic scaffold ARALYscaffold_4, whole genome shotgun sequence.